rnacentral:lncRNA from 1 species
UGUUCGAUGGAUGGAACACCGGCCCCCAUCUUGGCCCUUUUCGAAUAUUGUUAGAUUUGAUCAUCCUCUAAUCUCUGUUGAACCAUCUAUGCCCUAGUUCGAGCAUGAUUUGAUGAAUUUCAUCUUGAUCGGACAGACCGGAGUGUUGGGUACUCUCGCUUGGUCAGCCCUAGGAGGAUGUUGGAAUUUAAAAUUUUUAUUUUUAAAACAAUAAUUAUGAUAAAAUUUUAAUAAAAAAUCUAAUUUUUGGAUAUUGGGCUCUAAAAUUUUUUUUGAGAUCAAUUAGAUGUAUUACUUGGAUUGCAUUUGCAAGGUAAGUGAUGUUUCACUUUUUCUAAAUUUAUCAGCAGUUAUUAAAUUGUUAUAUUCAUAACUUUUGAGUGGUCUUAUUCAUGAUGCAUGGAUUUGAUGGAUAGUAUAUUACAGAAUAUAUUAUUUUGAAAUAUUAAGAUGAUAUAUGAUCUUAUUAUGCAUAUGAUUGAUUGAAUUUGACACCGCAUGAUUUUAAAAUUGAAAUAUGAAAUUUAGAACUAUCUGAAUUUCGAUCUGGUUAUGUUGAGGAUCCUGCCAAUAGGGGUUAAUACAUUUAUACAUGAUUUGCCCUAAAAGUUGUGUUUAAGAUGAAGAGCGACAUACCGCAAGCAGAUAUGCGGUCUUGAAGGACUUUGCUGCAAGAUGAUGCGUAGCUUACUGCAAGAAGAUUAGCCAUUGUUAUGAUCCUACCACAGGAAAAGAUGUGGUCAUAGCUCAAAAUUAAUAAGAUGAAUUGAAUAUUUGAAAGAAUUUGAAUUCAUGAACAAAAAUUUAUUAUUUUAAAAAAGAUUUGAUUCAUAUAUUAGUACUGCAUAUAUGCUUAUUUUCUGCAAAUUAUUAUCUAUUUGAUUACCUGAUUUAUUUGGCUAAAGUGAUCAUUGCUUACUGAACUGUCUAGCUCAUUAUACGAUUUUUUAUUUUUUAUAGAUUCAGAGAACUAGCCUGAUCAUGGUUUUCAAUAUAGGAGAGCGACUAGCAGAUGCACAAAUUAUCUUAGAUUAGGAUUUAUUUAAAUUGAUGUACUAUCCUAGAAUAUUAUUAGAAUCAUGAGAUAUUUAAAUAUUAAGCUAUGCAUAUUAUUAUUUAAAUUAUUCCGCUACAUACUUAUGAUAUCAUAUUGAGAUGCCUUAUAUAUUUGUUGGGAACCUCCAGUUCGUGAACUCAGGUUGGGGACGUGACAGAAUGGUAUAAGAGGGGACCUGGCCUGUGACGUAUAUGGACUAGAAAAACUGCAAUAUGGAUUUAUGGAGGCUGACCACGAGCCGUUCGUGGUGCUCGUGACUAGAUUUGAAUGAAUUUGAACCCUUAGCCUAGCAAGGUCACCAAGGCUUAAACGGAAGGAACAUGUGAGGACUCGUGUGAGCGCGUGUUUAAUCCUAUAUCGGUUAUUCCCUAGGUCGAUCUUGGAUACUUAUAUAGGAUCAAAGAACCUAAAUAAUACCUUCCGGCUAGCUUUUUUAGGUGAGAUUCUGAGUUGUUACAAAUGGUAUCAAAGCAUAAGUGGAUAAAAUUCUAAGACAAGAAAAUCUGGCAUAGGAUGAGUGUAGGUGGGUAGACACUAGAGAGUAGAGAUAUUGGGACGUAAAUCUAUGUCGAUUGCAUUGUAAGCUACUUUAAAGAUUUUCUAUUUAGCCUUUGCGAUUAUGUAUGAAAAGGUUACCAAGGAAUUAUGAUAAAAUUUAUUUAUAAGGUUUGACACAUGAUGGAAGGUUGGGCAAUCUAGGAAUCAAAUUAUAUUUAGUUAGAUUUGGAUCUAAAUUAAGUGCAAGAGGAUUGACCAUGGAAUAUUAUCAUGCAUUGUGAUUAUUUGUUAUUUAAGUCAACUUGGAAACUCAAAAAUUGAUAUGGAGGUAACUGUGAUAUUGCUUGAUUUUGAAGAAAAAUUCCAGGGGCAAAUUAAGAUCCAUUCAUACAAAGUUGUUUAAGAUUUCGGCUAUGAAAAAUUUUUAUGGUACCCAAUUGGAAUAUUCUUCGAGGUUUGAAUCUGUGUUUGGAUUAUGAAUGAAACUAGCAUGUAGAAGAAAAAUAUGCAAAAAGGUUAUUUUCUUAUUGAAGAAUUAAUUUUAUUUUGAGAUUAUAAAGUAUUCAUCUUGGUAGAAUUAUUAAUAAUUUUUAUCACCAUCUUUGGAUCCAAAUAAUAUAUCUGAUUUGUCUAUUGGAGACUGUGGUGUGUAAUAAACUUCAAUUCAAAGUUUGGUUUGUUAAGUUGAUCUAGGAAUCUUUUGCCAAUAUUGUUGAGGUUGCGGAUGAAAUCUAGUUUUGCAUGAAGAAUUUGAAAUUUUAAGUCUUGCAUGAUUAUCAUAGAAGAUUUUUCAUAAAUGCUAAAGAUCUCGAUAAUGAAACUUUAGGAGAGAUGAUUGAGUCGGUUUACUCAUUCGUGUUGAUUUAAAGCCUUCUAGUUUGGUGGAGCAUUAAGAAAAUUCUUUUAGUUGUUUUUACUUGUAAGAGUUUGACCUGAAAUCGUCUAGUUAAAUUGACAAGAGAAUUAAGAUUUAACUCAUAUUUGAAUUAUAGUAACUAGCCUACAUGAUGGUUUUGAAUGUAUCAAUUAACUCGAGGGUUAAUCUAGAUGGAUGCGCUCGAGGUAAAUUAGGAGACGAGAAUCAAAAGUUUCUUUUUGGGCUUUACUUGGAAAUUCAAAUUUUUGAUCAGUUUAGUGCAUAAUACAAAGUAGUAUUUUGAUCAAAAGUUAUUAGUGAAUCCAAAGAAUUUUGAUGGUUUGAAUCAAGGUAUGCUGAACUGGUACCGGUAGGCGUACCGGUUGCCUACCGGACCGGUUUGAGACCGGUUCGUACCGGAACCGGUCCGGUAGGAACCGGGCCCUUUUUUUUCGGUUCACGUCCACGCAUGGACUUGGGUCGAUAAGGCCACAGAGUUUCUAUCUGACACUAAUAAACAUUAAUAUUGGUAUUGGUUAUUCGUCAAUCCCAACUCAAUAAAUNNNNNNNNNNNNNNNNNNNNNNNNNNNNNNNNNNNNNNNNNNNNNNNNNNNNNNNNNUUCAUUGAUCAUUACAUGGAAUUCAGUUAAGAUAUUGUAUAAAAAUGAAAUUCCUUGUAUUCUCAUUUGAGAAUGGAAGGAAGGAUUUUUAUUUGGGAGAGUUUGAAGAAAAAAAAAGAUUUUUUGACUUAUCUUUUUUUUCCUUAUAAAAAAAACUCAAUCAGAAUAAAAUUUUCUAAUCCACAAGAACGAAAUUUUGUUAUGUUUAAUAUCUUUAGUUUAAUCUGCAUCUAUCUUAACUCUGUCUUUUAUUCGCAUAGUUUUUUCUUCACCAAAUUGCCCGAAGCUUAUGCCUUUUUAAAUCCAAUCAUAAAUGUUAUGCCUGUCAUACCUGUACUUUUUUUUCUCUUAGUCUUUGUUUGGCAAGCCGCUGUAAGUUUUCGAUGAUUUAUUUGAUAAAUAAAAAUUCAAAAAAUUGAUAAGACUAGAUAAGUCUUAUAUUAUGAACCCUCGAUUCAAAAAUAGAAAUUCUUGUAUAUUGAAUAACCAGUGCGGGGAAUCGCGCCCGUGCGGGGUGCUCUGCCUCGAGGGAGUGCGUGGCCCGAAUGACACCACAGCCUGCGCGCUGUGAUUAAAAAAAAAUGAUAUCGGUGCCAACCACCUGGUUCGCACUGGUACAUCACCAGUACACGAUCGGUAUCGACCAGUACGGCAGUCGUACCGGUCGGUUCUCUAACGAUAAGCUUCCGGUACUGGAUUGCACACUGAUCCGGUACCGAUCCCAGCCUGGACCGGUUCGUACGGGCCCGUACCGGCUGGUGCGGGCCGGUACGGCAUACCCUAGUCUCAAUCAUAGUGCACAGCAAAACAUAGUGGUCUGAAUUAUUUUUCUAAGUUGGUCAGAGGUAUUAUUUUUUUUGAUUCGACAAGUUUUAAUAAUAAAGGACUUAAUCUGUUUUUUAUAUAGUAGGAUUUUCUUGUUAAAUGAAAGGACAAUGUUUUGAUUUUUGGAUGUCGCCGUAUUAUCUUAGGUUCUCCAAUUUUAUGCUGUGCUAAGAAAAUUCUUAGCAUCUUGAGACUAGAAUUAGUGGAUUAUCGAUUUUUGAACUUGGUGCUGGAAUAUUUUGGUGUAGACCUCUUUCCUUCUAAAUCUGAAGCUUGUACUUCAAUUAAUAUCAACCCUCUAUUUGAUUGAAAGCAAGGGUGCAAAUGGGUCGGGUCGGACCGAGUCACGAGUGAUCCCGACCCAACCCGGUUUCUUGUUUGGGUUCUAAUGUUAGACGCGAACCUAACCCAAUGGGUCAUUCGGGUUUGGUUGGAUCGGGUCCACGGCUACAAUUUUUGACCCAAGAGGUCAUUCGGGUCGGAUUGAGUCUAUGUAUAAUCCGGUCCCAAUCCAAAAUAUUUGGGUCCAGUUCGGGUCUGAGUCAAGUUCGGUUCGGAUUGUUGGGUAAAUGAUCAGCACUUUACUGCACCAGAGAAAGCUUACAACUCACCUUUACGACACCAAGCAUAUCAUUCUCUAACUUUCCAUCAGCACUUUCAGAGAUUGCUGACUGAAGGUUUGACUGAUCAAGAAACCUUAAAAUUGAAUUUUCAUCCCACACGAUCUUUGUGCAUCCAUCAGUGCAUUUAUCCUGGUAUACAGCAUCAAUUUUGCUGCUAGAAGAUUCUUUUGGAUCUUGCCCAUCUACAGCAUCACAGUCAUUGAAAAGUUCUUCUGUUCCCCAUCUAAGAAUGUCCUCCACUUCCUUUUGAGAUUCUGACUUGUUCAUGAAUGGUUGGCCAAGCAUCAGUUUCUUCUUAGCAAGCUGCAAGAUGGCUCCUCGACACUAGCACGUACCACGAACCUGUACACCAGAAGCCUGUUUGAUUGCCCAAGUCUAUGUGCUCUAUUCAUUGCUGGUACAUCAGCAUGUGGAUUGAAAUCUGAAUCAUAUAUAAUGACAGUAUCUGCUGUGGCCAGAUUUAUCCCAAGGCCACAAGAGCGUGCGGAUGAUAAGAAUACAAAUCGAGUUUUGUCCUGAUUAAAACGAGCAAUUGCUGCUUGACGAUCAACCACUGACACUGAACCAUCCACUCUUUCAAAUGUCUUAGGACUGAAUUCUAUAGUCAGAUAAUCCUCAAGUAUAUCAAGAAGUUUUGUCAUUUGAGAAAAUAUGAGGACACAAUGCCCAUCCUUACGUAAAAUCUUGAGCAUAGAAUGCAGUAAUGUUAGCUUGGCUGAUGCCUUUAUGCGCAUUUUAUGGAUAAUUCGGGUUCGGGUAGUAGGUCAACCCGACCCAUUUGCAGCCUUAAUUGAAAGAGAUUGAGGUUACUAUCGACCUUAAUGAAUAUUCUAUUAGGGAUGGAUUGAAGUUGUUUAUGAUCUAAUGUUGUGAUAGAUCGAUUAAUCAAGAGCAGUUGAUAUAUUGACAAAGAAACUUGACAUUCUUAUUUAGAAUUAAGAUGUUGAUUUUCGUUUAUAAGAGAGAAGUUUGAUUUACAUCAUCUACAAAAAGAAUCAAGUUUGGAGGUAUAUGACCUUAUUCUUAUGAUAAGAACUAAUGAUGAAGUUGUGCUGAUAAACAGAAUUUUUAGAAACUUGAGGAUGAGAUUGGAACUAUGUAUCUCUAACUUUUUGAAAGCGCAAGGAAAGAAAAUUUUGGGGACGGAAUUUUUUUAGGGGGAGAAAAUGUGAUACCAAGUAUCUGAGCCCGAUCCAUUUGACCAGCCCAGAGUAUCUGGCCCAAAGGAGUUGGCCCAACCAAUUGAUGCACGUGCGUGGCACGUGUGAGGGAAGAGGUCUCUCGAUGGGAGUCUUCUUCCUCUUGAGUUCGGCGGACAGAAUUCGACUCCAGGUUGGAUUUUGAUUGCGGCCGAGCGCUAUUUAGAGCUCCUCCCUCAUCCCUUUUCCACCGCAUCAGAUAGCCCAAGUUCCCAAUCAACAGUCGCCCGAAUUCCAUGAUUUUCUCCUCGAAUGCCAACCACUUUUGAUGCCGUUGUUGCUACCAACUGUCGCCGGAAGCUAGGUAAGAAUCCGACAACCUUUAGUUGGCCUCUCUCUCCUUCUUUUGUGGUCCUUGAAAGCCCUGAUUCCGGCCAGGGAUCAUCCGAUUUUAUGUCAAGAAUCGGUGCUCUAUUUUUUCUAUUUUUCUUUGGAUUUUUUCGAUUUCAUUCCUUCUUUCCGAUCUGAUUGACCACUUCUCGAUCUCUGUUGAACCAUCUGUACCCUAGUCCGAGCAUAAUUCGAUGAAUUUCACUUUGAUCAGACUGACUGGAGUGUUGGACACUCCCGCUUGAUUAGCCCUGUGAGGAUGAUAGAAUUUAAGAUUUUUAUUUUUUAAAAAAAUAAUUCUGAUGAAAUUUUAAUGAAAAAUAUAAUUUUUGGAUAUAGGGUCCGAGAAGGAUUUUUGAGAUUAAUUAGAUCUGUUAGUUAGAUUGCGUUCUUAGGGUAAGUAAUAUUUCACUUUUUUUAAAUUUAUUAGUAAUUAUUAAAUUAUUAUAUUCAUGACUUUUGAGUAGUAUUAUUCAUGAUGCAUGAAUUUGAUGGAUAGUAUAUUACGGAAUAUGUUAUUUUGGAAUAUUGUGAUUGAUUGAUUAAUUUUGAGACCGCAUGAUUUUAGAACUGAAAUAUGAAAUCUAGAACUAUUUGAAUUUCGACCUAGCUAUGUUAAGGACUCCGCCAAUGAGGCCUAAUACGUUGGUAUAUGAUUUGUCCUAAAGGUUGUGUCCAAGAUG